rnacentral:lncRNA from 10 species
GUGAAAACGAUCUUUUCUAUGAAGAAAAACUGGUCAUAUUACUUUAUCAUGACAUCUUCUAAUAUCACCCACUGAGCCAUGGCAACUCCAGUGAAGAGGGAGUUGACUGUGGCACUAACCAGCUGCGUGUCUCGGUUUUCUCACUGGCAAAAUCAUGGUGUUCAAUGAGGUCCCUUCCAGCGGCAACAUUCUAGUAAUCUUUGAGAGUCAAAAGACAAAGCUAGGCUGGGCAUGGUGGCUCAUGCCUAUAAUCCCGGGCACCUUGGGAGGCAGACAGAAUAAUAGUAUCUGUGGUUCUCAAAAUUUACAUAUUGGAACCAUUUAUUUAAAAAAAAAAAGAUUUUACUUUAGAUUGGGUGUCUCAUCCUUGGUCAGGUAAUUCUUUGCUAUGGGUGAGACUGCGCAUUGCAGGCUGUUCAGUUGCAUCCCUGGCCUCUCCCUACUACUAGAUGGUAGUAGCAUACUCCCCCACCCACCCACUCUGCCCACAGUUUCAACAACCAAAAAUGUUUCCAGACAUAGCCAAAUGUUCCCUAGGGCAAAAGUGCCCAGGCUGAGGACUGCUGUGCUAGAUAUAGUUCUCUAAUCUGGAUUUAAUCAUACACAUAAACUUUAUUCAUCAUUGUCUUUAUGUUAUAG